rnacentral:lncRNA from 1 species
CCACCUCACAUCCAAGAUAUAAGUCCUUUUAGAAGCAGAGCCAAUCAAGUAUUCUAUGUUUGACCACGAAUUGGUGGAUCGAAUUACUUGCACGGAAAGCAUCAAAUUGAUAUCGGAUCUGCUAAUCCUCAGUCGCCUGAGAAAGGUUAUUUCCCACUCGAUCAGAUUUGUGUGGAGGUAGAGAAAUUUAUAAGUAGGGUAAGGGCUAACUUCUAAUAUUGACGGUUGGUUGGUGUUGUGGUUAGAUCAACACUACAGUUUUAGAAGGUUGCAGGUUCGAUACUUGGUGUCCAAUUUUUUUUAUUUGUCUUUCUUUUUUCUUCUUUCUUUUGGUUUUCUUAUGUAUUAUAUAUUGCUUUUUUUUUUAUCGCUCUCUCACUCUCUCUUCGUUUUUCUUGUUUUAUUUUUAUUUAAUUUGCCACUCUAACUUAAGAACGAGUAGCUACAGUAAAUUUCAGAGAUAGCAGCUAGUUGUUCGUAACAUUUAACCGAGAUUUUAUUUUUUUGAUGAGGUUUCAGAUAUCGGGUGACUCCUUAGCCGUUGAAUGUGUCGUUUCUUUUUUGGAAAUACACAAAACCAUUUAUUUUUCAUGUUGUUUAAGAUUUAUUUUUAUGCCUAACACAAUGUAUUAGUGUUCGUAUCACUUACACUUACUUUAGUAGUAGAAUUGAGCGUCCAUCCCAUGGACAUUCACGUGUCAACAAUGUGAAAUCUUUUUCAUUUAAAAUUAUUUUUUUGUUAAAAUAUCCUUCCCAUUUCACCUGCAAUUUUUGGGAUCGCGCAUAAACUUUUACCUCAAUUUUUAGAAUCGCGCAUAAGAUUUCACCCGCAAUUUUUUAGAAUCGUGCAUAAACUUUCACCUAUAAUUUUUUAUAAUCGCGCCUAAAUUUUCACCCGCAAUUUUUUAGAAUCACGCAUAAAAGUUUGACCUGCAAUUUUUAGAAUCGCGCACUUUCACCUGCAAUUUUUGAAACCGUGUAUAAACUUUCACCUGCAAUUUUUAGAAUCAUGCAUAAAGUUUAACCUGCAAUUUUUAGAACCGCACAUAAAUUUUCACCUGUAGUUUUUAGAACCACGCAUAAAGUUUCACCUGUAGUUUUU